rnacentral:rRNA from 1 species
GNNGGYUGYUAAUACAUGCAAGUCGAACGAACUCUGGUAUUGAUUGGUGCUUGCAUCAUGAUUUACAUUUGAGUGAGUGGCGAACUGGUGAGUAACACGUGGGAAACCUGCCCAGAAGCGGGGGAUAACACCUGGAAACAGAUGCUAAUACCGCAUAACAACUUGGACCGCAUGGUCCGAGUUUGAAAGAUGGCUUCGGCUAUCACUUUUGGAUGGUCCCGCGGCGUAUUAGCUAGAUGGUGNGGUAACGGCUCACCAUGGCAAUGAUACGUAGCCGACCUGAGAGGGUAAUCGGCCACAUUGGGACUGAGACACGGCCCAAACUCCUACGGGAGGCAGCAGUAGGGAAUCUUCCACAAUGGACGAAAGUCUGAUGGAGCAACGCCGCGUGAGUGAAGAAGGGUUUCGGCUCGUAAAACUCUGUUGUUAAAGAAGAACAUAUCUGAGAGUAACUGUUCAGGUAUUGACGGUAUUUAACCAGAAAGCCACGGCUAACUACGUGCCAGCAGCCGCGGUAAUACGUAGGUGGCAAGCGUUGUCCGGAUUUAUUGGGCGUAAAGCGAGCGCAGGCGGUUUUUUAAGUCUGAUGUGAAAGCCUUCGGCUCAACCGAAGAAGUGCAUCGGAAACUGGGAAACUUGAGUGCAGAAGAGGACAGUGGAACUCCAUGUGUAGCGGUGAAAUGCGUAGAUAUAUGGAAGAACACCAGUGGCGAAGGCGGCUGUCUGGUCUGUAACUGACGCUGAGGCUCGAAAGUAUGGGUAGCAAACAGGAUUAGAUACCCUGGUAGUCCAUACCGUAAACGAUGAAUGCUAAGUGUUGGAGGGUUUCCGCCCUUCAGUGCUGCAGCUAACGCAUUAAGCAUUCCGCCUGRGGAGUACGGCCGCAAGGCUGAAACUCAAAGGAAUUGACGGGGGCCCGCACAAGCGGUGGAGCAUGUGGUUUAAUUCGAAGCUACGCGAAGAACCUUACCAGGUCUUGACAUACUAUGCAAAUCUAAGAGAUUAGAYGUUCCCUUCGGGGACAUGGAUACAGGUGGUGCAUGGUUGUCGUCAGCUCGUGUCGUGAGAUGUUGGGUUAAGUCCCGCAACGAGCGCAACCCUUAUUAUCAGUUGCCAGCAUUAAGUUGGGCACUCUGGUGAGACUGCCGGUGACAAACCGGAGGAAGGUGGGGAUGACGUCAAAUCAUCAUGCCCCUUAUGACCUGGGCUACACACGUGCUACAAUGGAUGGUACAACGAGUUGCGAACUCGCGAGAGUAAGCUAAUCUCUUAAAGCCAUUCUCAGUUCGGAUUGUAGGCUGCAACUCGCCUACAUGAAGUCGGAAUCGCUAGUAAUCGCGGAUCAGCAUGCCGCGGUGAAUACGUUCCCGGGCCUUGUACACACCGCCCGUCACACCAUGAGAGUUUGUAACACCCAAAGUCGGUGGGGUAACCUUUUAGGAACCAGCCGCCUAAGGUGGGACAGAUGAUUANAGUGAAGUCGUAAAAAAGGUAACCA